AGUCCUGUAGUUUAGUGGUUAGAGCACUUGUCUCGGAAGCAAGAGGACCUGGGUUCAAUUCCCACGCAGGGUAA